rnacentral:rRNA from 1 species
GACGUAGGGGCCAGCGUUGUUCGGAAUUACUGGGUGUAAAGGGUUCGUAAGCGGUGCGGCAAGUUGGGAGUGAAAUCUCUGGGCUUAACCCAGAGGCUGCUUCCAAAACUGCUGUGCUUGAGUGUGGGAGAGGCGCGUGGAAUUGCAGGUGUAGCGGUGAAAUGCGUAGAUAUCUGCAGGAACACCCGUGGCGAAAGCGGCGCGCUGGACCACUACUGACGCUGAGGAACGAAAGCUAGGGGAGCAAACAGG